UGUAAGUACACUGUAGCUGUUCUCAGAUACUCCAGAAGAGGGAGUCAGGUUUCGUUACAGAUGGUUGUGAGCCACCAUGUGGUUGCUGGGAUUUGAACUCGGGACCGUUGAGCUAUCUGGCCCCUGUUCUGGAAUCCUAUUCUGAGCCUAUUCCUGAUCUGUGCUUUCUGAAAUGACGUCAUCACGCGAGCAGACAGCGCGGCUCCAGCUUCACAUCUGUACAGUGGUUUAUUUUCUCCAGCUGUCCAUCCAGUCUGGAGGUCCCUUUCCCUGGAACGCGGGCUCACGAAGGCUGCUCAGUCUUCUCAGAUGCAUGUGGAAGUCUCUCAUCCCAGAUGCCACCCUAACAUCACCACAUAGCACCGCCGGCUUCUCCACCAAAAAUCUUGUGUUUGAAGGUCACUUUUCCCUAUGAUGUCAUAGUAACAGCCUGGAGAGAGGUGUCCCUCCGUGUAUAGCUGACUCACUGGGCUUUCUCCCCUGUGCCUCCCUUAUAUGUUGCCAUCCAUCCAGAUUCUUGGCACAGAAUGUUAGGGACAAGCAGUCCUAAGUACUGCCAUUUUGUUUUCAGAUUCCAUUUAAUCAUAGGGGAAACUAUGGGAACUGGCGACUUCCCAACAGCUGAACAGCCUCUGUUAGAAGACAGUUGUCUGAGUCCAGCCAUCUCAGAGACAACUUGUAAGGAUACAGUUGCUUGAGUCCAGCCAUCACAAGGACAGCUUCUCCAUCUGGCUGGCAGAGUCAACUAAGUUCAUAUUCCCAGGCCUAGGAGCCAACUCCCAUCCUGAUUGCAGGAAGCUCCCUUGCUCAACCCCUUAUGUCAAAAUAUAAUUAGACAGUGCUCCAGCCCACCCUGCCCCUGUCAUGUUAUGCUUCCAUCCUUUAAAUAUGCUGUACAACUUUCCUUCAAGGUCACAGUUCAGCUCCCAAGUCUGGUCUGUGGCCCUAAUGGGUCAGUAGUGGCUUGAUUACACUAAAUUUGUGUCAUCUGUACUGACUCGGUAUUGAGUUAUGUUGGAUCUAAGCGGAUCCCACAACAAUAUGAACAACGGUGGCCAUUAUUUUGUGCAGAGACAAAUCUGUUCCUACCCACAUAAAUUCCUGGCUCUGCUAUGGCAAAGUCCAUUGCUGGUAUCUUGGGAGGUUCAUAUUCUUUCUUUCUCUCUCUCUCUCUCUCUCUCUCUCUCUCUCUCUCUCUCUCUCUCUCUCUCUCUCUCUCUCUCUCCCACUACUCCCUACAAUCCUCCCCCCACCACACUUCUUAAAUUUUAUCUUAUGCCAAGCUGUGGGGCACACCUUUAAUCUCAGCACUUCAGAGACAGAGGCAGGCAGGUCACUAAGUUUGAGUCCAGCCUGGUCUACAGAGCAAGUUCCAGGGUAGUCAGGGCUAUACAAAGAAACCGUGUC
rnacentral:lncRNA from 1 species